rnacentral:lncRNA from 1 species
AAAUUUUAAAUUAAACACUGUUGCACCAGAGAAAUAAUAUAUUAGAAGGACCAAAAUGUCCUCAUAACUAACAGUUACCAAGUAACAUUUCAUGGUUGUCUCACACAAACAGUCCUCAUAAUAUAUGAAUGGUAUCUCACACUAAUUUAUGGUUGUCCUUUUUCUCUCUCUGGUGAGAAUACCAAAAUACAAAAGAAAAAAAUAUAUACAUCUAAAUGGUAAAGAAAAUCAGAAAAUAGAAGAAAGUGAUUAGAGUAUAGGUUAUUGUUGUCACUUCUGGAAUUUGCAGAAGACACUCGUCCAAAGGAUAUUACCACGUGGCGACAUCAUAGAAUAGGAGAUUCUCACACCAAAGCACACAAACACUAUAGGUUAUUAAAUAAAUCUAAAAUGCUUAUUUAAUAAUAGAUGGAGAAAUGCUUAAAAUAGAAGAGAGUGAGUGAGACAGAAUCUAUACAUAAAAAAAUGACAUGAAACACAAUAAUACAAAAUCUUAAUCAAAAAAUACAUUAAAC